CAGUAGACAUAAUUAUUCUCAAAUGCAAGAUUCCAUUUGUGAAUCUUGACAGGGAAUAUUCGAGGAAUUCCCAACCUCCAAAUUGUAUUAAACUCCAAUGAUCAAUCAAUGCCUUUUACGCACAAGCUGUACUGCUUUUAUACACGCAGAGCAUGAAGAUGACCCUAAAACGACCAUGACUAAAACGUAUAACACACAUUACAACUCUUAAAGCAAAACUCACCGUUUCACUUAAGGCCUCAAAACACACAACUCUACAAACAAAACGACACUACAGAAUUAAACCAA